UACGUAGGGUGCGAGCGUUGUCCGGAAUUAUUGGGCGUAAAGGGCUCGUAGGCGGUUUGUCGCGUCGGGAGUGAAAUCCACUGGCUUAACUGGUGGCUUGCUUUCGAUACGGGCAGACUGGAGGUAUGCAGGGGAGAACGGAAUUCCUGGUGUAGCGGUGAAAUGCGCAGAUAUCAGGAGGAACACCGGUGGCGAAGGCGGGUCUCGUGGGCCGAAACUGACGCUGAGGAGCGAAAGCGUGGGGAGCGAACAGG
rnacentral:rRNA from 1 species